GAUGAACGCUAGCGGCAGGCUUAAUACAUGCAAGUCGAGGGGUAGCAAGAUUGUAGCAAUACAAUUGUUGACGACCGGCAAACGGGUGCGGAACACGUACACAACCUUCCUACAAGUGGGGAAUAGCCCAGAGAAAUUUGGAUUAAUACCCCGUAACAUAGCGAUGUGGCAUCACAUUGCUAUUAUAGCUUCGGCGCUUGUUGAUGGGUGUGCGGCUGAUUAGAUGGUUGGCGGGGUAACGGCCCACCAAGUCUACGAUCAGUAGUUGCUGUGAGAGCAUGAUCAGCCACACGGGAACUGGGACACGGGCCCGACUCCUACGGGAGGCAGCAGUAAGGAAUAUUGGACAAUGGACGAAAGUCUGAUCCAGCCAUGCCGCGUGAAGGAUUAAGGUCCUCUGGAUUGUAAACUUCUUUUAUAAGGGACGAAAAAAGGUCUUUCUAGAUCGUCUGACGGUACCUUAUGAAUAAGCACCGGCUAACUCCGUGCCAGCCGCCGCAGUAAAAC
rnacentral:rRNA from 1 species